rnacentral:rRNA from 1 species
CCUACGGGUGGCAGCAGUGAGGAAUAUUGCACAAUGGGCGAAAGCCUGAUGCAGCAACGCCGCGUGAGGGAUGAAGGCCUUCGGGUCGUUAAGCCUCGUCCUCAAGGAAGCUAAUGCCGGUACUUGAGGCGGAAGCCCCGGCUAACUACGUGACAGCAGCCGCGGUAAUACGGAGGGGGCUAGCGUUAUCCGGAAUUACUGGGCGUAAAGGGUGAGUAGGUGGUUUCUUAAGUCAGAGGUAAAAGGCUGCGGCUCAACCGUAGUAAGCCUGUGACACUGGUAGACUUGAGUGCAGGAGAGGAGUGGGGAAUUCCUAGUGUAGCGGUGAAAUGCGUAGAUAUUAGGAGGAACUCCAGUUGCGAAGGCAGCUUUCUGGACUGUAACUGACACUGAGGCACGAAAGCGUGGGGAGCGAACAGGAUUAGAUACCCCGGUAGUC